AUGUAGAAAGCGAGAAAUUUGCAUACGGUUUCGGCCCGUAACUUAGAGGUGAAAGUCCUUUUCUAUAUAC
rnacentral:tRNA from 1 species